rnacentral:rRNA from 1 species
GAUGAACGCUAGCGGGAGGCUUAACACAUGCAAGUUGAGGGGCAGCAUAGAGUAGCAAUACUUUGAUGGCGACCGGCGCACGGGUGAGUAACGCGUAUGUAACCUACCUUGUACAGGGGGAUAGCCCGGAGAAAUUCGGAUUAAUACCCCAUAAUGAUAUUUGAAGGCAUCUUUAGAUAUUUAAAGUUUCGACGGUACGAGAUGGGCAUGCGUGACAUGAGCUAGUGGGUAAGGUAACGGCUUACCAAGGCUACGAUGUCUAGGGGUCCAGAGAGGGUGAUCCCCCACACUGGUACUGAGACACGGACCAGACUCCGACGGGAGGCAGCAGUGAGGAAUAUUGGUCAAUGGGCGUAAGCCUGAACCAGCCAUCCCGCGUGAAGGAAGAAGGCGCUAUGCGUCGUAAACUUCUUUUCCGGAGGAAUAAAAUUUCGUACGUGUACGGGACUGAAGGUACUCCGGGAAUAAGCAUCGGCUAACUCCGUGCCAGCCGCCGCCGUAAGAC